UUACGUUGACAUACAACAAUUCCCUUUGACGACCUUGCAACUUCAAGUCCUAGAAAAUAUUUCAAAACUCCUAAAUCCUUUAAUCUUCCAAUUAAUCUUCUAUACAUUCCUAGAUCAUCAAUCAACUCACCUUGAUCUUUAGUUAGCUUUAGAUUUUGCAACAUAGGGCAUUUUGCAGGCUUUGCUCCUAAAUAAAAUGUGUCCUCAAGAAUUUCUAAUUCAUAUUUACGUUGACAUACAGCAAUUCCCUUUGAUGACCUUGCAACUUCAAGUCCUAGAAAAUAUUUCAAAACUCCUAAAUCAUUUAAUUUAAAUUGCUCAUCAAGACUUCUUUUGAACUGCUCAAUAUAGGUCAAGUCAUUUCCACUUAUGAUAAUAUCAUCAACAUACACCAGCAGUACGGUAUAUGAGUAGCCAAUCCUUUUGCUAAAAAGGGAAUAAUCUAAUUUUGAUUGACCAAUCCCUUGAGAAACAAUAAAUGAUGAUAGUUUGGUAUUCCAUUGCCUAGAGGUCUGUUUAAGUCCAUAAAUGGACUUGUUGAGUUUGCACACCAAUGUGACUCCAUUCUCCCCCUGCUGCUCAUAUCUCGGAGGCAUUUUCAUAAACACUUCUUCAUCUAGGUCCCCAUGAAGAAAGGCAUUGUUGAUGUGUAACAGGUGAAGGUGCCAAUUUUUGCAUGCCGCAACUGCCAACAGAGCCUUGAUUGAGGAUAACUUUGCAACAGGAGAAAAUGUCUCUUGAUAAUCUAGACCAGCCUGCUGGGUGAAUCCCCUUGCCACCAACCUUGCUUUCUUCCUUCUUCACUUCCAUCUUGCUUUAGUUUGAUCUUAUAGACCCACUUGCAGUCUACAUGUUUCUUGUUUGUUGGGAGGGAAGUGAUGGUCCAGGUGUUAUUGUUAACUAGAGCCCAGUAUUCAUCAUCCAUAGCUUGGCACCAUGUUGGAGAUUGUGAUGCUUCAAAAAUAUUUCUGGGCUCAACAUUAGUAGACAGUGAUAACACAUAAACCCUGUGAGCUGGUGAAAGUGAAUCAUAACCCAAGGUGUUGGAUAAUGCAUGUGAUAUUCCAGUAUUAUGAGAGGAAAGUGAAGAAGCAGAUUCUUGCUGAGAGAUUAGGUUGCAAUGAAAUUAUUGGAAAUAGUUGGGAGGUUUUCUGUUGCUGGUAGAUCUGCGGAGAGGAAUAUUAGGUGAAGGCUGUGAAGAUGGUGAAGUGAUGACCGGUGACACAGAGGGUGGAGAUAAUGAUACAUUGUUAUGUGAUGGAUUUGGAGAUGAAGAUAAAUGUGAAGGCAAAGAAGUGUUAUUGUGUGAUGAUGAAGAAUGUGUGGGGGAUAAGAGUUCUGAUAUAGGAUGAGAGAAAAGCGAAAAUAGAGGAAAUAUAGCCAAGUGAUGUUAACAAUGUGAGAUCUUGAAAGGGAAAUAUAUUUUCAUGAAAGAUGACAUCCCUAGAUACAAAAGUAGCUUGUGUGCACAGAUUAUAUACCUUGUACCCCUUUUGUGGUGGGAGGAUAACCAAUGAAAAUACAUGGGACCGCUCUAGGAUCAAACUUGAAUCUAUGUCUUUAAAUGGUGGAAGCAUAGCAUAAGGAGCCAAAGACUCUUUAGUGUGAAUAUGAAUGCUUUGCUGAGAAGAGGAUUUCAUAGGGUGAUUUGUUUGAUAGAGAAGCACUGGGUAUGUGAUUUAUCAGAUAUGUGGCUAUUAAAAUACAUUCUCCCCAAAUUUUAUCUGGAAUUUUAAGGCUCUAGCGACAUUUAACAAAUGUUGAUGUUUUCGCUCAACUAUGCCAUUUUGUUGAGGUCUUUCAACAUAUAGUCCCUUUGGGAAGGAAAAAAAUCACUCAUGGCAAAUUCAGCACCAUUGUCAGACCUUAGGACCUUAAUUUUGGUACUGAACUGAGUUUCAAUCAUGUUGAAAAAGGUUUGAAUGAGUUGUCUGGUCUGUGAUUUAGUUUUCAUCAGAAAUGUCCAAGUGGAUCUACUAUAAUGAUCCAUUAUAGUCAAAAAAAUAUUGUGAACCAUCAAGGGAAUGAGAUUGAUAAGGACCCCAGACAUCACAACGAACAAGUUCAAAACAAGAUUGAGAUAUAUGCAUACUGUGAGGAAAAGGCAACCUAUGUUGCUUUGCCAUAGGACAAAUACUAGAAUGAAAUUCAUAAUUCCAUACAAUUUUAGGUACAAGUUUUUGCAACAUGGAGAUUCUAGAAUGGGGAAUAUGUCCUAACCUAGAGUGCCAUAGUUCAAAAGGCACUUUUGUGACAGCAUUGAGACUAGAAACAUAGUCAUGAUUUAUGACUUUAUUACAGCCAACAUCUACAAGUACAGAAGAGAAUGUAUUGAAUUGAUGUGGUGCAGAUUUGAUGGGGCAUGCAGGGAGUGAUGGACCAUUGUUUGAAGGAGUACUAAGCUAGUAGUGAUACAAUCCAGCUUCAAGUUUCCCCACUCCAAUCGUUGUCCAUGUAGAAAGGUCCUGAAUAAGACAAUGAUCAGACAAGAAUAUUAAGUAACAUUGGUGUGAAAGGAUGAGUUUGCUGGCAGAGAUUAGAUUACAUUUAAAAGAGGGAAUGCAUAACACAUUGGUUAGUAAUAGCCUUUCAGACAGCUUUACAGUUCCUAUGUGAGUCACAUGAGCCUCAUCUCCAUUUGGAAGUUUGACACUUGCACUUACUCUAGCAGUGAUAGUGGAUAGAUGAUCAAUACAACACACCAUGUGGUCUGUUGCCCCAGUAUCAAUUAUACACUUAUGCCUUAUAAUUGAGACUGCUAGACAGAAGUUAUUACCUCAGAAUGUGAAACAUCUGGCAAUGCAAGGUUUGUUUGACUUUGGUUUUCAGUAUUACCAGAUUGAGUAAUCAAAUUUGAGAGCUGAACGUGAAUCUGCGGUUUCAACAUAUUGAGAACUUGCUAGCAUUGUUCUGGAGUAAAUGUCAGGUUUGAGAAUGCACCUGACAGAUCAGAGGAGGUAGCAGUUCCCAUCACCUGAUUAGCACUGGAAAUAUAUCAUUUUCCUUUCUCCUUUGCCAACCUAUGUCCUGGAGGAUAUCCAUGGAGUUUGUAGCACUUUCCCUGUAUAUGUCCAAGCAUCCCACAGUAACUACACUUAGGUCUAUCCUUCCUGUAAUUUUGAUUCAUAUUCGUUGUUCUUCGGUUACCUCCGGAGCUCAUAGGAUUACGCAUCAAUCUACUAAUGAAUGCACUGGUUUCCACAUUAAUCUAACUCCUUGAUGCCACAUCUCUCAGUUUUUCAUCCUACUGAACUAAGGUAAACACUUCGUUUAGUGGAGGCAAAGGCUCCAUUAGUAAAAUCUGACUUCUCACAUUGGAAUAACACUCAUCCAGUCCCAUUAAAAAUUGCAGUAUUUGUUCUUCUUCAUGAUAAGAAUUAUGAGUUUGUGGCCUAUAGUUCGACAACUCUUCUCAUAAGCCUUUCAGCCUAUUAAAAUAGGCACUUACAGAUCCAUACCCUUGUGAAAUUGAAGCAAUUAGCUUCUUCAAUUGGUAAAUUCUAGGUCCAUUGCCCUGACUAUACCUAUCUUUCAAUUUGAGCCAGAUCUCACGUGCUGAGUCCUUAUGCAUAACAUUAGGAUAUAGUUCCUUAGGAAUUGAACUAAUAAUCCAUGAUGAAACAAUAUGAUUGCAUCUACGCCAGGCAGCAUACAAAGGUAAAUUCAUGGAGGGUUUCACUAUCGAACCAUCAAUAAAACCUUCCUUAUUUUUCACACUCAAUGCCAUUUCCAUAGCACGACUUUAGGUUGAAUAAUUCUCAUUAGAGAGAACAACUGAAACAAUCUGCAUACCUGUGUUAUCUACAUAGUGCACGUAGUAAGGGCUCGAGAGAUCCAAUAUCAGUUGAUGAGUUGCAAGCAACAGAUCUUCACCGUGAUCAACUUUCGGUGUAGGAGUAUCAGUCGAUUCUUCAAUUUCAGCUUCUGGAUUUGUCACCAUGAAUGAAGGUCUUGAUCAAUGCUCUGAUACCAUGUAAAGUUUACACCCUAAUUGGAGAAAACCUGAUUACAGAGUAGAGAGAGAAACUGGAGUAUUUCAUAUAUGCCAAAAGGAAGCAGUACAAACGUAUAUAUACAUGCACUUAUUCUGUACAAUAGUAACCAGCUGUAGAAUUGACAGCUCAGCCUAACUAACUAGCUGAAUUAGCAAAUUACAUAAAUAACCUUG
rnacentral:lncRNA from 1 species